UUGACCUAACGGCAGGAAGGAGGAAGUGAACUGAGCAUGCGCCAUGCGCCGCAGCUCCUUUCUGUUCCUGAGAAUGGACACAGGUGCCCAGCCACCUCCCACUCCUGCCCUGUGACUUCUCCACUGGCUGGCCUUGAAUUCAAGACUCCCCCGUGUCAGCUUACCAGUGGCGGGGACGACAGGCUCAUGGCACCUCAUCCGGCUCAAUCCUUUGCGUCGAACACGCAAAAGCUGGCGUGAGGGGCAGAACUCAGACGCUUCCCUCUGCCGUUCCCUGUGCCCAGUGGAUAAUCUCCAGAGACGAGUAGUCAGCUUUGUUGUCCCUCCUGCAGCCUCUCCACCUGCCCGUUUCCCAUCAAGAAAGUGUGUACAUGUUUAAAACCUUUUAUUGCAAAUAAUACACAUGUGAAAA